rnacentral:rRNA from 1 species
UACGGAGGGUGCGAGCGUUGUCCGGAAUCACUGGGCGUAAAGGGCGCGUAGGCGGCCUGAUAAGUAGGGGGUGAAAUCCUGCGGCUUAACCGCAGGGCUGCCUUCUAAACUGUCAGGCUAGAGCACAGUAGAGGCAGGUGGAAUUCCCGGUGUAGCGGUGAAAUGCGCAGAUAUCAGGAGGAACACCAGUGGCGAAGGCGGUGCUCUGGGCUGGAACUGACACUGAGGAGCGAAAGCGUGGGUAGCAAACAGG